rnacentral:rRNA from 1 species
AGAUUGAACGCUGGCGGCAUGCCUAACACAUGCAAGUCGAGCGGCAGCGCGGGGGCGACCCUGGCGGCGAGCGGCGGACGGGUGAGUAAGGCAUCGGAAUCUGCCCUGAUGUGGGGGAUAACGUAGGGAAACUUACGCUAAUACCGCAUAUGCCCUACGGGGUAAAGCGGGGGAUCGUAAGACCUCGCGCAGCAGGAUGAGCCGAUGUCCGAUUAGCUGGUUGGUGGGGUAACGGCCCACCAAGGCGACGAUCGGUAGCUGGUCUGAGAGGAUGAUCAGCCACACUGGGACUGAGACACGGCCCAGACUCCUACGGGAGGCAGC